rnacentral:rRNA from 1 species
UUCGCAAUGCCCGAAAGGGUGACGAAGCGACGCCGCGUGUGGGAAGAAGGCCUUCGGGUUGUAAACCACUGUUGGGAGUUAGGAAGUGUGGAAGUGUUAAUAGCGCUUUCACUUGACUAAAGCUCCAGAGGAAGCCACGGCUAACUCUGUGCCAGCAGCCGCGGUAAUACAGAGGCGGCAAGCGUUGUUCGGAAUUAUUGGGCGUAAAGAGCACGUAGGUGGUUUUGUAAGUCAGAUGUGAAAGCCUUCUGUUCAAAGGAAGAACGGCAUCUGAAACUGCAGAUCUUGAGUGUAGGAGGGGAGAGUGGAACUUCUGGUGGAGCGGUGAAAUGCGUAGAUAUCAGAAGGAACGUCGGCGGCGAAAGCGACUCUCUGGCCUAUUACUGACACUGAGUGUGCGAAAGUUGGGGGAGCAAACGGGAUUAGAUACCCCGGUAGUCCUAACUGUAAACGAUGGGCACUAAGUAGAGGGGUUUU